GAUAAACGCUGGCGGCGUGCCUAAUACAUGCAAGUCGAGCGAACGGACGAGAAGCUUGCUUCUCUGAUGUUAGCGGCGGACGGGUGAGUAACACGUGGAUAACCUACCUAUAAGACUGGGAUAACUUCGGGAAACCGGAGCUAAUACCGGAUAAUAUUUUGAACCGCAUGGUUCAAAAGUGAAAGACGGUCUUGCUGUCACUUAUAGAUGGAUCCGCGCUGCAUUAGCUAGUUGGUAAGGUAACGGCUUACCAAGGCAACGAUGCAUAGCCGACCUGAGAGGGUGAUCGGCCACACUGGAACUGAGACACGGUCCAGACUCCUACGGGAGGCAGCAGUAGGGAAUCUUCCGCAAUGGGCGAAAGCCUGACGGAGCAACGCCGCGUGAGUGAUGAAGGUCUUCGGAUCGUAAAACUCUGUUAUUAGGGAAGAACAUAUGUGUAAGUAACUGUGCACAUCUUGACGGUACCUAAUCAGAAAGCCACGGCUAACUACGUGCCAGCAGCCGCGGUAAUACGUAGGUGGCAAGCGUUAUCCGGAAUUAUUGGGCGUAAAGCGCGCGUAGGCGGUUUUUUAAGUCUGAUGUGAAAGCCCACGGCUCAACCGUGGAGGGUCAUUGGAAACUGGAAAACUUGAGUGCAGAAGAGGAAAGUGGAAUUCCAUGUGUAGCGGUGAAAUGCGCAGAGAUAUGGAGGAACACCAGUGGCGAAGGCGACUUUCUGGUCUGUAACUGACGCUGAUGUGCGAAAGCGUGGGGAUCAAACAGGAUUAGAUACCCUGGUAGUCCACGCCGUAAACGAUGAGUGCUAAGUGUUAGGGGGUUUCCGCCCCUUAGUGCUGCAGCUAACGCAUUAAGCACUCCGCCUGGGGAGUACGACCGCAAGGUUGAAACUCAAAGGAAUUGACGGGGACCCGCACAAGCGGUGGAGCAUGUGGUUUAAUUCGAAGCAACGCGAAGAACCUUACCAAAUCUUGACAUCCUUUGACAACUCUAGAGAUAGAGCCUUCCCCUUCGGGGGACAAAGUGACAGGUGGUGCGUGGUUGUCGUCAGCUCGUGUCGUGAGAUGUUGGGUUAAGUCCCGCAACGAGCGCAACCCUUAAGCUUAGUUGCCAUCAUUAAGUUGGGCACUCUAAGUUGACUGCCGGUGACAAACCGGAGGAAGGUGGGGAUGACGUCAAAUCAUCAUGCCCCUUAUGAUUUGGGCUACACACGUGCUACAAUGGACAAUACAAAGGGCAGCGAAACCGCGAGGUCAAGCAAAUCCCAUAAAGUUGUUCUCAGUUCGGAUUGUAGUCUGCAACUCGACUACAUGAAGCUGGAAUCGCUAGUAAUCGUAGAUCAGCAUGCUACGGUGAAUACGUUCCCGGGUCU
rnacentral:rRNA from 1 species